rnacentral:rRNA from 1 species
CAGCGCCACGAGUGGCAAUCGUGUAUUUGGCCUAAAGCGUCCGUAGCCGGAUUUGUAAAUCUUUUGUGAAAUCGUUGAGCUCAACUUAACGGCGUGCAGAAGACACUGCGAGUCUUGAGACCGGGAGGAGAUAGAGGUAUUCUAGGGGGAGCGGUAAAAUGCUAUAAUCCCUGGAGGACCACCAGUGGCGAAGGCGUCUAUCCAGAACGGAUCUGACGGUGAGGGACGAAAGCCAGGGGAGCGAACUGGAUUAGAUACCCGCGUAGUCC